rnacentral:rRNA from 1 species
UACGUAGGGCGCAAGCGUUGUCCGGAAUUAUUGGGCGUAAAGAGCUCGUAGGCGGUUUGUCGCGUCUGCUGUGAAAACCCGAGGCUCAACCUCGGGCCUGCAGUGGGUACGGGCAGACUAGAGUGUGGUAGGGGAGACUGGAAUUCCUGGUGUAGCGGUGGAAUGCGCAGAUAUCAGGAGGAACACCGAUGGCGAAGGCAGCUCGCUGGGACGGUACUGACGCUGGAGACGCGAAAGCGUGGGGAGCAAACAGG